GUAAUAUUGGCAUUGAGUUGUACACAAUUUUUUUCUUUAUUUUUUACAGGGACUACUCAUUCAUCGAUACAAUGGCGAUGAUAAUUGCUAUAUAUCCAGCCUCGCGGAGUACAAUGAUACUAGAUCGGCACAGGAAAACCCCUCAAGUUUGUUCAAGUACAGACUGGAACCAAUUUCAGAGAUUAAACGUCAGUACUUCAGCUACACGGCUACCGAAUCGAUUAAACGCGUUUGCAGUGGCGCUGUAAACAUAUUAUGGAGUGCGAUUCAUGCUGAUGAUGAGCAGGAAGAAACGCGACAGAAACGCGAUUGCAGACUCCAGUGUGGGUAUUGGUGUGGCUAUAAUGGUUGCAGUUAUGGUUGCCAUUUAAUUUGCUCUUUCUAAAAUAAUUUGAUAUAAGUUUGAUUAUAAUGAUAUAAUGUAGUGUAUUUUCACUUGAUAGCGUAAGCCUAAAUACCGAAUUUAAUAGCUUCUCUGACCAUGGCUCACAUUGGGUUUUCUACUUUUAGGCCUAUCAAUUAACAUUUUCUCUAACAUUAAAUUUCAUUUUCAUUAGUACAGACUUAUUCAUUUUACAUUUAUUUUACAAAGAAAAAUGCUUUCCUCUCAACGAAUUAUACUAGGCCUAAUUUAUAGGACAACAAGAAUGAAAAGUAAAAAAAAAAUCACCAAGUACAAUAAUUUUGAUGAUGAACGAAUGUCAAUGUAGAAAGGCGUACGACUUAGUGGACCACAACAUAUUAAAAAAUAAAUUGCCUUAAUUGGAAGUCAGCGAAAAAUGUAUUUUAUGGACUAAAUUAUUGUUUUAAAAUCGUACUGCACUAAAAUAUGAAUAAAUACACCUCGUGUCUUAUUUUGUUCAUAUUAUUGUUUAUUAACGAUUUCAAGUCUGAUCCGCAUGUUACUAAAUAAAUGGAUGACAACUCGUUGUUGGAAUGUGUUAACACGUUAAAUAAUCAGAGUGCUAUACAAAGG